UAAAGUCAGAGUUAUAGUAAAUUGUGACUGGGACUCGGCAAAAUGCAUUACUCACAGUACUACGGUGGCCCAUUAGUGACACGUUCAUUCUAUAGAAAAUCGUGCUUUCAUUUUGUAAAUUAAUUGAUUCAAUAAUAAAAAGACAGUUUGCCUUACAAAAGUAGUCAACUUCAGCGAAACAACCGUAUUCCACUUAUAACAAAGAACAGUUUUCAAUUUUAGUGACGCGUUCUGUACAAACUUGAUUACUGUUCCGUAGAAAAUGGUUGCAUGUUCCGUAGAAAAUUAAAAACAUUGCGCGCGCAUAUACUUUAUAAUCUGUGAUACAUGAAGUUUCAUAUCAUUUUAUCAAACAUGGCGGCUUGUCGACCCUGCAAUGUUAACUUUUAUGCCAUGCAACUUCUGUCCUUAUUGCGGCUGUAGAGUUACAGCAAAGGAAUUUUACAUGUAUUUCGUAUUUGUAUAAUGUAUUGCCGAAGUUGUGGUACUAAAAUAUUACAAGGAGGAAGUUUUUGUCAUAAUUGUGGCCAUGCGGUUACAAAAAAAGGAGCUACAAAUUUGUUGUCUGCAUUGUACAAAUUUUAACUGGAGUUGAAACAGUGACCCCACUUGGCAUGGAAAAAACCACCACUGUGAAAUUCAAGCAUGGAUGCAAAGCUGGUUGAAGAUGCAAACCAACAGCCUCUACCUGUGCUACAAGCUUAACACUCCCAGUUCAUAUUGAUGAUUCAAAGUAAUUUGAAGAUACAAUGGAUGCUACACUUGCAGAAAGUUCUGGUUUUGGCUUCAUUUAAAGAAUACAGUAUCAAUUAUAUAUUUCAAAGACAUUUCUCUUUUAAAACGUUUUUAAUGUUAAGACAACUUAAAAUUUUUGUUAGAUAACACAAACACUAUUUUGCAUUAGCAGUGCAAAUAAUUCUGAUGCUUCCUGAUAGUUUUCGGAUAUUGUAAUCUUUGCAACUCAACCAAGAAAUGGAAAUAAUCUUGAAAAGUAUUAUCAUACAACAAUUCAUUAUGGCAA